UACGGGGGGGGCAAGCGUUGUUCGGAAUUACUGGGCGUAAAGGGCGCGUAGGCGGCCUUCUAAGUCGGACGUGAAAUCCCUCGGCUUAACCGAGGAACUGCGUCCGAUACUGAAAGGCUUGAAUCCGGGAGAGGGAUGUGGAAUUCCAGGUGUAGCGGUGAAAUGCGUAGAUAUUGGGAGGAACACCGGUGGCGAAGGCGGCUCUCUGGACCGGUUCUGACGCUGAGGCGCGAAGGCGUGGGUAGCAAACAGG
rnacentral:rRNA from 1 species